rnacentral:rRNA from 1 species
ACGGGGGGAGCAAGCGUUGUUCGGAUUUACUGGGCGUAAAGGGCGCGUAGGCGGCCAGUGCAAGUCAGUUGUGAAAUCUCCGAGCUUAACUCGGAAAGGUCAACUGAUACUGCUCGGCUAGAGUGCGGAAGGGGCAACUGGAAUUCUUGGUGUAGCGGUGAAAUGCGUAGAUAUCCGGAGGAAGACCGGUGGCGAAGGCGGCCUGCUGGGCAGUUACUGACACUGAGGCGCGACAGCGUGGGGAGCAAACAGGA